GACGAACGCUGGCGGCAUGCCUAAUACAUGCAAGUCGAGCGAACAGAUGAAGUGCUUGCACUUCUGACGUUAGCGGCGAACGGGUGAGUAACACGUAAGGAAUCUACCUAUAAGCGGGGGAUAACAUUCGGAAACGGGUGCUAAUACCGCAUAAUAUCUUCUUCCGCAUGGAAGAAGAUUGAAAGACGGCUCUGCUGUCACUUAUAGAUGACCUUGCGGUGCAUUAGUUAGUUGGUGGGGUAACGGCCUACCAAGACGAUGAUGCAUAGCCGACCUGAGAGGGUGAUCGGCCACAUUGGGACUGAGACACGGCCCAAACUCCUACGGAGGCAGCAGUAGGGAAUCUUCCGCAAUGGGCGAAAGCCUGACGGAGCAAUGCCGCGUGAGUGAAGAAGGCCUCGGGUCGUAAACUCUGUUAUAAGAGAAGAAC
rnacentral:rRNA from 1 species